CGUUCCCGGGCCUUGUACACACCGCCCGUCACACCAUGGGAGUUGGUUUUACCCGAAGGCGUCGCGCUAACCGUAAGGAGGCGAGACGACCACGGUAAGGUCAGCGACUGGGGUG
rnacentral:rRNA from 1 species